UACGUAGGGUGCGAGCGUUGUCCGGAAUUAUUGGGCGUAAAGAGCUCGUAGGCGGUGUGUCACGUCGGCCGUGAAAACCUGGGGCUUAACUCUGGGCGUGCGGUCGAUACGGGCAUCACUAGAGUUCGGCAGGGGAGACUGGAAUUCCUGGUGUAGCGGUGAAAUGCGCAGAUAUCAGGAGGAACACCGGUGGCGAAGGCGGGUCUCUGGGCCGAUACUGACACUCAUGCACGAAAGCGUGGGGAGCAAACAGG
rnacentral:rRNA from 1 species